rnacentral:lncRNA from 1 species
GGAAUCUUAUCCUAACAAAUGGGAAGCUUCUAGAUAAGGGCUGACAAGGAUCAUUUUAGAAAAAAAAAAUAGGGGGAAAAUUCUGUGGGUAGGGGUGUAAGUGAAUUAAAUUAAAAGUUUAAAGAGUGCAUCUGAAUGAGGAAAAACAGGCGUUGUUGCCCUAAAUCUCCUCUAUAAAGGAUCCCUUUUCCAAUCAUUAAAAAAAGGAUGGAGAAGAAAAAGAUCGGCAAACGACUGAAAAUAAUUUCUUUUUUCUAAAAAGUGUUCUUGAGAAAUUUUGAGCUUUCUUUGGUCUUGAGGUGUUUUUGCUGGGUUUCAGAAGUUGGAGCAGAAAUUUUGGGUUUAUUGAUUGCUGGUUUUGCUGAGCUUAACUAAGAACUUCAGAUUUCUUUUGUUUCUUCUUGUUGUUUUCCUUUUUGCUAGGUAUGUUUUUGAUCUUUUGUAUUCCCUGUUGAGUUUUGUGAAUUAAAUGUUGGGUUUCUUUAAACACUCAAGUCUGUUUUGAUGAAUCUGAUAACUUAGCUAUGCAAAUUGCUUGGAUUUACUUCUCUAAUAAUUUAUUUCGUGUGUGUGUGAUAUUUGAACUAAUUGUUUUAUUGGUUAUCAUUCAUAUAAAUGGUUCAUUGUUGGAAUUUCUACUCUGGUUGGAUACUAAUUUAUAUCGGAAAUGAUGUUGAAGAUGAUAAAUUUAUUCCCUUUCAUAUUUGAAUAAGUAUUAUCUCAACAAGCUUAGUUAUUAGAUUGAGAAGUUCAUCAAUUCCAUGUUUUGUUGAAUGCAGAUUGAAGUUGUAGUAGAUGGCUAAUGUCAGAAGUAUUAAAGACUGAACUACAAAAUUGAUUGGUUGUAUUUGCUGGAAUUUUAGUAUGGUGAACUGAGGAAUAGUUAUUUUGAUAUCUUGUUAUAGCUUUAGCAUACAAGUGCUUGGUUGUAGCCUUUCACAAUGUGUAAGUUUGUUUUGAAAGGUGUAAUUGAAUUCCUGUUAAAAAUAAUACUUCUAUCAUUCUCUGAAGUUCCUAUGAGAAAGUUAAUUCAUUAGCUUACUGUCAAAAUUCAGCAUGUUGCCAAACGUAUAUUUCAAGAUGUUCAGUAAAAAGUAGUAUGAUUUUGGUAUUUUGUCCUAGGAUAAUUACCACAAAUUUAGUUAUUUAUGUAAAGAGUUUGUAUUUACUCAUUGUGAUGGGCUUAGUCAAAGUUAGUUAUCAUCCCAAUAAAGAAUUUCGGCAAGGUAAUAAGAGCCCAAUAUUUUUAGAAACAAGACUAUACAUCUGGCCCAUUUUCUUGUAAUUAAAACUCACGAUUUUUUUUAACUCAGUUCGUAUAUUCUUGACUCAAAGUUGAUUUUAUUUAGUUCUUUAAUGUUUGAUUAUGACCAUUUGUGAUACUUCUUUUAGUAUUCAGAUAUGUAUCUUCCCC